UCUUCGAAUGGUUCAUCUUCAAAAUCAGCCAUGUCAUAGUAGUCAUCAACCAUGUACUCCAGCUCGUCGUUCUGAAAUUGUGCCAUUAUCCUACAUAUCGUAUGGCCGUCAGUCUCUGAGGAAAAGCAUAUCUUUACCACCAUAAUGUAAAGACGAAAGGAGACAACGAAUGAAAACGGAAUACGAGACUUGCGACAGUUACAGAAGGAGAAAUCUUCGCCGGUACGCAACAAACUCAUCCAAAACUUGGCAGGAAAAAGGAAAAUGGAACCAUGAAUGGUAAAGAAAAGCCUGAAUCAUCGAGAACAGGAAAUUACCUCCUAAUCUUGAAGAAGUAGCUUAAGGAUUCAAACUCGAAGAGAAACUAGUUACAAACAAUGGAUCUCUCGUUCAGAAGCUCUAAUAACAAGCAAAUGUUGAUGAUUACUGUAGUUUCGAUUGUUAGAGAA